rnacentral:misc_RNA from 1 species
GAUAAGAACGUAGCGAAAUGCGAUAAGUAAUGUGAAUUGCAGAAUUCCGUGAAUCAUCGAAUCUUUGAACGCACAUUGCGCCCCUUGGUAUUCCGAGGGGCAUGCCUGUUCGAGCGUCAUUAUAACCCCUCAAGCUCAGCUUGGUGUUGGGGCCUGCCGCACGGGCAGCCCUUAAAAUCAGUGGCGGUGCCAUCUGGCUCUAAGCGUAGUAAUUCUUCUCGCUAUAGAGUCCCGGUGGAUGCUUGCCAUUAACCCCCAAUUUUCUAUGGUUGACCUCGGAUCAGGUAGGGAUACCCGCUGAACUUAAGCAUAUCAAUAAGCGGAGGA